rnacentral:rRNA from 1 species
GUGGGGAAUUUUGGACAAUGGGCGCAAGCCUGAUCCAGCAAUGCCGCGUGUGUGAAGAAGGCCUUCGGGUUGUAAAGCACUUUUGGCAGGAAAGAAAUAGUGCGUGCUAAUACCAUGCGCGAAUGACGGUACCUGCAGAAUAAGCACCGGCUAACUACGUGCCAGCAGCCGCGGUAAGACGUAGGGUGCAAGCGUUAAUCGGAAUUACUGGGCGUAAAGCGUGCGCAGGCGGUUUUGUAAGACAGGUGUGAAAUCCCCGGGCUCAACCUGGGAACUGCACUUGUGACUGCAAGGCUAGAGUGUGUCAGAGGGAGGUGGAAUUCCGCGUGUAGCAGUGAAAUGCGUAGAGAUGCGGAGGAACACCGAUGGCGAAGGCAGCCUCCUGGGAUAACACUGACGCUCAUGCACGAAAGCGUGGGUAGCAAACAGGAUUAGAAACCCGUGUAGUCC